rnacentral:tRNA from 2 species
GGAGAGGUGGCCGAGUGGUCGAAGGCACGCCCCUGCUAAGGGCGCAGACCUCUAAAGGGUCUCGAGGGUUCGAAUCCCUUCCUCUCCGCCA